AACGGCCAUACCAUGCUGAAUAUACCGGUUCUCGUUAGAUCACCGAAGUCAAGCAUCAUUGGGCGCGGUCAGUACAUGGGUGGGUGACCACCUGGGAACACC
rnacentral:rRNA from 1 species